GACGAACGCUGGCGGCGUGCUUAACACAUGCAAGUCGAACGGAAAGGCCCUGCUUUUGUGGGGUGCUCGAGUGGCGAACGGGUGAGUAACACGUGAGUAACCUGCCCUUGACUUUGGGAUAACUUCAGGAAACUGGGGCUAAUACCGGAUAGGAGCUCCUGCUGCAUGGUGGGGGUUGGAAAGUUUCGGCGGUUGGGGAUGGACUCGCGGCUUAUCAGCUUGUUGGUGGGGUAGUGGCUUACCAAGGCUUUGACGGGUAGCCGGCCUGAGAGGGUGACCGGCCAAAUUGGGACUGAGAUACGGCCCAGACUCCUACGGGAGGCAGCAGUGGGAAUAUUGCACAAUGGGCGGAAGCCUGAUGCAGCAACGCCGCGUGCGGGAUGACGGCCUUCGGGUUGUAAACCGCUUUCGCCUGUGACGAAGCGUGAGUGACGGUAAUGGGUAAAGAAGCACCGGCUAACUACGUG
rnacentral:rRNA from 1 species